UACAGGGGUCUCAAGCGUUGUUCGGAUUCAUUGGGCGUAAAGGGUGCGUAGGCGGCGCCGUAAGUCGGAUGUGAAAUCCCGAAGCUCAACUUCGGAACUGCAUUCGAUACUGCGGUGCUGGAGGACUGGAGAGGAGAUCGGAAUUCAUGGUGUAGCAGUGAAAUGCGUAGAUAUCAUGAGGAAGACCAGUGGCGAAGGCGGAUCUCUGGACAGUUCCUGACGCUGAGGCACGAAGGCUAGGGUAGCGAACGGG
rnacentral:rRNA from 1 species